AGCGAACGCUGGCGGCGUGCCUAACACAUGCAAGUCGAACGUGAAAAGGGAAACCUGAGUAAAGUGGCGUACGGGUGAGUAACGCGUAGGUAAUCUACCCCAGAAUCUGGAAUAACCUGCCGAAAGGCGGGCUAAUACUGGAUAGAGCGAGGGAACUCGUAAGAGAGUUUUUCGGGAAAGGGAGCCCGCAAGGGCCUUCGUUCUGGGAUGAGCCUGCGUCUCAUUAGCUAGUUGGUAAGGUAACGGCUUACCAAGGCGAUGAUGAGUAGCUGGUCUGAGAGGAUGAUCAGCCAUACUGGAACUGAAACACGGUCCAGACUCCUACGGGAGGCAGCAGUGGGGAAUCUUGCGCAAUGGACGAAAGUCUGACGCAGCCACGCCGCGUGAGUGAAGAAGGCCUUCGGGUUGUAAAGCUCUGUCGGAUGGGACGAACAUCUUCAUAGUGAAUAGCUAUGAGGACUGACGGUACCAUCAAAGGAAGCACCGGCUAACUCCGUG
rnacentral:rRNA from 1 species